rnacentral:rRNA from 1 species
AAUCAACGCUGGCGGCGUGCCUAACACAUGCUAGUCGAACGCGAAAGGGGCUUCGGCCCUGAGUAGAGUGGCGAACGGGUGAGUAACACGUGGGUGACCUACCUUCGAGUGGGGGAUAACGUCCCGAAAGGGACGCUAAUACCGCAUGACAUCCCGCCUUUGAACAGGUGGAGAUCAAAGCUGGGGAUCGCAAGACCUGGCGCUUGAUGAGGGGCCCGCGUCUGAUUAGCUAGUUGGUGAGGUAACGGCUCACCAAGGCGACGAUCAGUAUCCGGCCUGAGAGGGCGGACGGACACACUGGGACUGAGACACGGCCCAGACUCCUACGGGAGGCAGCAGUGGGGAAUUGUUCGCAAUGGGCGCAAGCCUGACGACGCAACGCCGCGUGGAGGAUGAAGGUCUUCGGAUUGUAAACUCCUGUUGCCCGGGACGAAUGGCUCCGACCUAACACGUCGGAGUGUGACGGUACCGGGUGAGGAAGCCCCGGCUAACUCUGUGCCAGCAGCCG